CAAUGGAACUGAGACACGGCCCAAACUCGUAUGGGAGGCAGCAGUAGGGAAUCUUCCGCAAUGGAUGAAAGUCUGACGGAGCAACGCCGCGUGAACGAUGAAGGUUUUCGGAUCGUAAAGUUCUGUUGUUAGGGAAGAACCGCCGGGAUGACCUCCCGGUCGACGGUACUUAACGAGAAAGCCCCGGCUAACUACGUGCCAGCAGCCGCGGUAAUCGUAGGGGGCAAGCGUUUUCCGGAAUUAUUGGGCGUAAAGCGCGCGCAGGCGGCUUCUUAAUUCAGGUGUGAAAGCCCACGGUUCAACCGUGGAGGGCCACUUGAAACUGGGAGGCUUGAGUGCAGGAGAGGAGAGCGGAAUUCCACGUGUAGCGUGGAAAUGCGUAGAGAUGUGGAGGAACACCCGUGGCGAAGGCGGCUCUGUGGCCUGUAACUGACGCUGAGGCGCGAAAGCGUGGGGAGCGAACAGGAUUAGAUAUUUUGGUAGUCCUCGCCGUAAACUUAGAGGCUAGGUGUAGGGGACUCCAAUCCUCAGUGCACGCAAGCUUUACAAUGUUUAAAUA
rnacentral:rRNA from 1 species